CCUACGGGGGGCUGCAGUGGGGAAUAUUGGACAAUGGGCGAAAGCCUGAUCCAGCCAUGCCGCGUGUGUGAAGAAGGCCUUCGGGUUGUAAAGCACUUUCAGUGGGGAAGAAAGCCUUGGGGCUAAUACCCUCGAGGAAGGACAUCACCCACAGAAGAAGUACCGGCUAACUCCGUGCCAGCAGCCGCGGUAAUACGGAGGGUGCGAGCGUUAAUCGGAAUUACUGGGCGUAAAGCGCGCGUAGGCGGUCUGAUAAGCCGGUUGUGAAAGCCCCGGGCUCAACCUGGGAACGGCAUCCGGAACUGUCAGGCUAGAGUGCAGGAGAGGAAGGUAGAAUUCCCGGUGUAGCGGUGAAAUGCGUAGAGAUCGGGAGGAAUACCAGUGGCGAAGGCGGCCUUCUGGACUGACACUGACGCUGAGGUGCGAAAGCGUGGGUAGCAAACAGGAUUAGAUACCCUAGUAGUC
rnacentral:rRNA from 1 species